CCCUUCGGGGCGCCCGCCAGCGGCCGCGAGCCGCCUGAACUUUUUUUAAACCGUAACGAAACGUCUGAGAAACAAACAAAACAGCCAAAACUUUCAACAACGGAUCUCUUGGCUCUGGCAUCGAUGAAGAACGCAGCGAAAUGCGAUACGUAAUGCGAAUUGCAGAAUUCAGCGAGUCAUCGAAUCUUUGAACGCACAUUGCGCCCGCCAGCAUUCUGGCGGGCAUGCCUGUCCGAGCGUCAUUUCCCCCCUCAGCACGCCCUUUGGGUGCGCUGGCGUUGGGGCUCCUCCGCCCUCUGUGGCGGCAGGGCCCUCAAAUCCAGUGGCGGGCCCGUCUGGUUGGCUCCGAGCGCAGUACCGAACGCAAGUUCUCUCUCUCGCUCUGCAGCCCCGGCCGGCGCCCAGCCGUCAAGCCGCGCAGGCGACCCUCUCGAGGGCCGCCUCGCAUUUUUACAAGG
rnacentral:rRNA from 1 species